AUAAGACUGGGAUAACUUCGGGAAACCGGAGCUAAUACCGGAUAAUAUUUUGAACCGCAUGGUUCAAAAGUGAAAGACGGUCUUGCUGUCACUUAUAGAUGGAUCCGCGCUGCAUUAGCUAGUUGGUAAGGUAACGGCUUACCAAGGCAACGAUGCAUAGCCGACCUGAGAGGGUGAUCGGCCACACUGGAACUGAGACACGGUCCAGACUCCUACGGGAGGCAGCAGUAGGGAAUCUUCCGCAAUGGGCGAAAGCCUGACGGAGCAACGCCGCGUGAGUGAUGAAGGUCUUCGGAUCGUAAAACUCUGUUAUUAGGGAAGAACAUAUGUGUAAGUAACUGUGCACAUCUUGACGGUACCUAAUCAGAAAGCCACGGCUAACUACGUGCCAGCAGCCGCGGUAAUACGUAGGUGGCAAGCGUUAUCCGGAAUUAUUGGGCGUAAAGCGCGCGUAGGCGGUUUUUUAAGUCUGAUGUGAAAGCCCACGGCUCAACCGUGGAGGGUCAUUGGAAACUGGAAAACUUGAGUGCAGAAGAGGAAAGUGGAAUUCCAUGUGUAGCGGUGAAAUGCGCAGAGAUAUGGAGGAACACCAGUGGCGAAGGCGACUUUCUGGUCUGUAACUGACGCUGAUGUGCGAAAGCGUGGGGAUCAAACAGGAUUAGAUACCCUGGUAGUCCACGCCGUAAACGAUGAGUGCUAAGUGUUAGGGGGUUUCCGCCCCUUAGUGCUGCAGCUAACGCAUUAAGCACUCCGCCUGGGGAGUACGACCGCAAGGUUGAAACUCAAAGGAAUUGACGGGGACCCGCACAAGCGGUGGAGCAUGUGGUUUAAUUCGAAGCAACGCGAAGAACCUUACCAAAUCUUGACAUCCUUUGACAACUCUAGAGAUAGAGCCUUCCCCUUCGGGGGACAAAGUGACAGGUGGUGCAUGGUUGUCGUCAGCUCGUGUCGUGAGAUGUUGGGUUAAGUCCCGCAACGAGCGCAACCCUUAAGCUUAGUUGCCAUCAUUAAGUUGGGCACUCUAAGUUGACUGCCGGUGACAAACCGGAGGAAGGUGGGGAUGACGUCAAAUCAUCAUCCCUUAUGAUUUGGGCUACACACGUGCUACAAUGGACAAUACAAAGGGCAGCGAAACCGAGGUCAAGCAAAUCCCAUAAAGUUGUUCUCAGUUCGGAUUGUAGUCUGCAACUCGACCAUGAAGCUGGAAUCGCUAGUAAUCGUAGAUCAGCAUGCUACGGUGAAUACGUUCCCGUCUUGUACACACCG
rnacentral:rRNA from 1 species